UACGGGGGGGGCAAGCGUUGUUCGGAAUUACUGGGCGUAAAGGGUGCGUAGGUGGCUUGGUAAGUCGGAUGUGAAAUCCCGGGGCUCAACCCCGGAACUGCAUUCGAUACUGCCAGGCUGGAGUACUGGAGAGGAGAUUGGAAUUUACGGUGUAGCAGUGAAAUGCGUAGAUAUCGUAAGGAAGACCAGUGGCGAAGGCGGAUCUCUGGACAGUUACUGACACUGAGGCACGAAGGCCAGGGGAGCAAACGGG
rnacentral:rRNA from 1 species